UACGGACUUAAAAAAUCCGUCGACUUUAAAAAUCGUGAGGGUUCAAGUCCCUCUAUCCCCA
rnacentral:tRNA from 8 species